GAUGAAAUAAAUUUUUAGAAUCUUGAUUCUCUCUCUCUCUUUCUGUAGAUUACAAUGAAAACAGAGGAUGGUUUUGUGACGAGUGCCAGACGAAAAGUCAAGGUUUUUGUAUUCAAAAUUCUUGUCCAACUUGUGUUCAUCUACUAAACUAUUAAAAUAUGGUAUAGAAAAUAUUAAAUGCGAGAAAUUUUAUGGAUAGCCUUUGAUCGGUUCAUUAGUAGAAAUGCACGUCAAGAUUGGUUAGCAAAGGAAGAUACUAUUCGUAGUUGGCAUUUUGACGAGACUAUAAAUUUAGUUGUUGGCAUUUAUUUCAAACAUUAUUUUCUUUGGUGAUGGCUGAUGAUAUUAAAAAAAAAAAUCUCACGUGGUAUAUAAGUAAAAAAAACUCGUUUUCAUCUUUGUACCUACUGCAAGAACCUUCUCUGUCUUCUCCACUUGGUCAAUUGAAUUGGUCUUCUUCUUCGGAGUUCUUUGUCGGUCGGUUACUCAUUAAAUUAGGUCAUACAGAUAACCCCUUUCUUCCUUCCUCUCACUUCCUUUUCUCUUCCACUUUUCGAAUAGACUUAGAUCUUACACGUCUCAAGCUUUAAAUGGCACUCGCUGCUAUACAGCAGCAUGGGAUUCUCAGGUUACAGGAGUAGAAAAGGGUGGAUAGAGGUAAACUAAUGUUCAUCAUCAAUAUAAGGCAUGAUUCACUUUUUGUAGGACUCUUUGUUCAUCCUCUUUGGUAAUUGAUUCGCGGACUCUUACGGUAUGAGAAUUAGCCGCUGAAAUAUUAAAUAUCAAGAAUCUGACUUUGUGAAGUUUUGUAUGUCAAUAGUUUCCAGAGUUUUUCUUUUCUUCUUCUGUUGUUUAAUAAAUCCAACACAAUUGUCACUCAGGAUUAUGGUAAAGCACCUGACGAUGUUACAACUUACAAGGUUUAACUCACAUACGUUGGAUAGGCUCGAAAAUCGUUGUUUCCAAGAGGAAUGGCCGAGGACUCGAUGAGCGUUGAUUUCGAAGAAUAACCCUUCAAACGAGGGUUCUUGCUAAUCGGAGAAUACCGAAGACAAGAAAGAAGAACUGAAAGUUCUAGGGUUUUUCUUAUUCAAUAUAUCAAUAAUGUAUACAAAGCUAUAGAUCAAACUAUAUGUACUAGGCUAACGAGAUCGUAACCGUCUCUCCACACACUAAUCUACGCAAGUUAUACUUAGCCUCAUAAUUAACAUAAUGGCUAAAUAAAAUAGAAACAAUAUAAACACAUAUAUCUCGUAAGCCCAUGGUCCAUAGUAUGCGCUGCAAUGCAUCAGUAUAGCUUAUUGUCAAACACGAAAUGACUCCAAGCGAAGCUAAUAGAGAUGUACUGUUUAAAAGAUUAGUGGUUAGAUCCUCAGUCCGAGUCAAGAGACUUCUAGAGAUUUCGAUUGGAGCCAAUAUCAACUUCCUUACGAGAGAUAGGAUGCCGAAGUCGCUCAAGUCAGUGUUAUAGAGCCGAGGGAACGCAAAUGAGUUAAUUGUCAAUAUCUUUUAAUAAUUUGAUUUUGUGAAAUCAUACAAGUUUUAGAAUAUAAUCGCACGUUCGAACCGCAAAAAAAAAAAAAAACAGAGUAUUUACACCAGUUUUAAUCAAGUUUA